GGGAGGACCGAGCACAGAAAGCAAACAGACGCUGUGGAGCUCUCCUGCAGACCGUGGCCAUGACUUUGGCAGUCCCCGGCAGACGCGGUGCUUCCGUCUCCUCACACCUGAUAGCGGACUGAGAGGGGGGGCGACCUCCGGUAGAGCCGGUGGCUAACGUUACGCCGUUUGAGACCAGCUGGCUGUUAUUUGUUCUGCUUUUUCUUCCCGUGUUUACACGACUGUUCCUCGGUCACUGGCUCUAUGUUGACGGUACAGGAGGCGGUUUUGUACCACAAGUCGAGCAUUGGAUGACGACAGCAUCAUCUGCUUCAUAUGUGGACCAAUCAGACGUGGUUCUAUGAAUUUGGGCCCAGAGCAGCCCUGGGUUGGGACUGGCAUAAGAACUGUACAUCUAUUUCAAUGAAGACCGUCUGCUAUCUGAAGUUUGUGUCAAUGAGGAAGACCGGCCUCCUUCUUCAUUGCACCAGAGUCAGAGUCCUGGUUGGAGCCGCUGUGAAUCGCACAUUUUGGCCCUGCCCCUGUCCUACGAGCUCCCAGUCCAGAUACAGUACCUAACAGGACCACUAAGUAGCUAAUGUCAGCUAGUAGUUAGUACAGUUAGCAUAUGCGAAAGUGCUCUGGUAAGUGAUUCUCUGUGUUACAAGAGAAAAGGUUUGUGUUGGAACAAUGUUCUGUUACUUUCAUCCAACUAAUGAAAAGUGGGUCGACUAAGACUCUUCUCAUCGCCUAAUGGUUAAGUCGACUAUGGGGGGCAGAUGUACUUUUUACUGCACUACAUUCAUUUUAUAACUUAAGUUACUAGUUACUUUACAGAAAUUGCUAAUACAAAAUAUAAAUCCACUAAUAAAUGAUGAUGUAUUAUUAUUAUAGAUUAAUCUACCCAGCAUUAAAAAGUAAAGUAAUCAAAAUAAUCUCUAUCUGUUUUUAACACACUUGUAUUGGAUCAGUACUCUGUAUCGGCCAAUAUGCAAUGUUUAGGUAUUGGAAAGAAAAAUAUGAUAUUAGAACAUAAAAAAUAACAAUACCAACAAUUCGAAAAUGCUGAAUAUUGGAUUUGAUAAUCUUCCAGUCUGUUCCUAAUUAUAAUAAAACUGGUCCAGUAAAAUUUGUCCAGUAUGUUAUUGAUAUUUUGCAUACUGCAAAGUUCUUUAUCUAAAACCCCUGCAGACAUUCUUGUUCCUGUUGUUUUACCCUGUGUAAUGAAACUGCAGGCACCUGUUAAACUCUCAGUACCUUCCCUCAGUCCCUUUACUUUUAUGCCCUGCAGUCCUGAUGAUUUGCAUACUGUUUUCAGUCUUUUCUCACAGUUUGAUUAAGUUUGAUUGACAAGGUGUUAAUUUGUCUUGUGUUGCACUAAAUCUUCUGCCACCUGCAGUAUUCUAUUCUAUUCGAGUGCAUUUGAAAACAUGUUUACAAGUUGAAAGUGAACUCUAUUUAUAUCUUAUCAUUUAACCAAGCCAAGUUGUAGGAAACUGAUGAAUUGAACUGUAUUAAACAAUAUGACUAAUCAAUGUGGCAAAUCCAGAGAGUUAUUAGCAAACUCUGCGGUGUCCUGGACUUGUUUAAGCUGCUUUUAGCUCAGUUUCAUUUACUUGCAUGCUUAUUCUGCUAUAAUUCUUUUUUUUUUUUUUUUGACAUGCUAACACACAAGGCUGCUUUCUGGAGGGAAAAAGCUCUGAUAAACCUGCUGUAUGCAAACAGACAAAGUUAGCUUAUUAUCAGAGUUUAUGGUAUUUGUAGUCCUCAGAUAGAAAAGACAUUUCUGUAUAACUGGGUAAGGUGGAGGUGCCUGCUUUAUAAAACUAGUCUGUUGUCUUGGAAUUAGUAGAGCAUGAAAACAAAGGGAAAAAGCAACUCACACAAAACCAAUUAAAAUAAAUGAAAUAAAAAUUGAUUUCCAAUUAAGCUGCGUACUUGUGUCCCAAAGCAAACAGCUCAAAACCUCCUACUCACUCUUUAUAAGUCACAGUGGAAUAUUCCAGGUGGGUUCAAGAUGUUGGUUAAUAUGAAUGGAAAAUGAAUUCAUAAAUAAAGGAGGUUUCCACAUUAAACUCAGUCUAGAUUAAAAUAUAUGUAUUAUCAUUUCCAACAUUUCCAAGUUUGUGAAAACUUUUUUCUUCCACCUACCAUGAGGAUGUGACAAACUGCACGUGGUAGUCAUUUUUAAACACUUAGACAGCAAUGACCCCUACUACUUUCAUCUUAGACGAAUUCUAGACAGCAUGCUGCAACAUUUUUCUAAAGAAUAUGUUAUUCAAAUUUGGUAAGUCUACCAGAUGAAUUUGCAAGAAAUCUGUCUUUAUUAGGACAAAAAAAGAGCUAUACUUUGUUGUGCUCAAGCCACAGGUGUGUCUUUCCUAAAGCAUUUUGCACUGAAAGACAUAAUUAAAAGAAACAGAUGUGUUUAGUUCAUUUUAAUGAGGAGGAGGAAGGAUUAGAGUACAGAUAUUUGACGAAGACUGCAUUACUAACUGUCAGUAACACAAAGCUUUAAUAGCCCACGUUAUUUGGGUUCCAUUUUCCAUCUAGGAUGUUGUUUUUUUUACAGAAAGUAAAGAGACUGCACUUUAUCUUUAUAGUCUGCUGGUUCAUUAUGUUGGGGGGAGAUGCUCCUGAUAAGUGCUGCAUUUUACAACCCAUUCACCCAGUCUAUCAAUAGGCCCAGCAUAAUACCCUUAUAAUAUAUAUAGGUACUUAGAAAAGAUAUGAUAUGGUGUAGUGUCUUUACAGUGGCCUAAAGAAGACGAUGGUUAUUUUUCCUGUCAUGCCUCCCUUUUUGAAGCCAAAAACCAACUAAGAUUUUUCAACUAUUGAUGAAAUUGUUGUCAAAAUGAGCAGUUGGAUGUUAUUUUAUGGGGACAGUAUUGUCAUAAUCAUGAACUACAGUUUUUCACGUUAUUGUGUAUACAAAUAAUAUUUGAAGUUUAUGAAGAAUAAUCACUAGCUGCAGCUUUUACAAAGCAAGGUUUCUGCAAAAACCAGUGUGGUUUAUUGGUGUAACCGGUGUGUGAUGUAUCAGUGUGUCCUCUGAGUUUAUUUGGUCUCAUACUGCCUGUUGCAGGAUUUUUAGAUACCAAAGAUUUAAAGGUCUAUCCUCUUCCAUUACGUUGACAGAGAGAUAAUGUGAGCAAGACGGGCUUUGUCAUAUUUUCUUGAUUGAUCACCAUUAUGUGACUUUAAUUGUUUGAUAAUGGUUAUCUGUUUUUCUACUGGAAACUGCCUUUUCUGCUUCCGUUGUGUGAAUUGGUACUUGUUUGAAGGGACAAUGAGAUUCUGUUCAUUUAGUUAGUUUAGCUUUCUGCAUUGAGUGUAAAGGAAGAUUUACUCAAUGUUUUACACAUAUUGGCCUGAAAUACAAUCACGCAAACACAAGGCUCAUAGAAAUACAAAUGUGGAGAGGUGGUGGAGUGAUUGGCUGCCAUGUAGAGGCGCCCUGGGAGCAGUUUGGGGUUCGGUGCCAUUUGCAAGGGUACCUCGGCAGUGCCCUUGAGGUGGAACUGGCACUACUGUGGUUCGUGCUGGAGUUGAACUGGUAACCCUCCGAUUCCCCAGAAAAUAUGUCUCAUUCAUUUAGUAUUGUAAACUUAAAGGUCCAGUGGGUAACAUUUAGGAGGAGCUAUUGUCAGAAAUGGAUUAUAACACUCAUAUGUAUUAAUGCUGUCGUGGUAACCGAAAAAUCACUCUGUUUAGAAUCCGACCGUAUGGGAUAGCAAACCACCGCCACAACCACACUUGAUGUCACAUCAACACGACGACAAAGCAUCACAUAAUAGAAAGACUUUUGUCUGUUAGCUAGCGACUUUGAGCUAAAUAUGUUAACUAACUGCCGUUAGUAGAGUCACAGACCCAGGAGAAGGGCGGGUUGAGGUGAUAAGUACAAGCAGAAGCAGGUACUGAGGUUAAACAGCAUACCGCUCUCCCUCUUACAAAGUAAUUAGGAAAACCAACAAAAAUGGUGAUAAUAUCACAUACUGUGCCGUUGAGCGACCCUAAAUCACUGCAGGAGAAAUUCUUUCAGCACGACAACCCUAAUAAGUACAGUAUGUUUUUAUUAGUGUAUAAUCACCUGAAAAUAAGAAUUGCUGCGUUUCCACCAUGUUUCUACUGUUACCCAGAAUGGACAAACCAAACACUGGCUGUAGAUAGGGACGAUUUUUUUUUUUUUGGCAUGUUUCGUGGCCACUAAAAUAAAAGUAGUCUAGACUAAAAAGAGUAGGUUACACUAAUUUAUUUAGUCUGUUUAAUUGGAAUCCAUUGUUUUCAUGGAGUACCAGUUGAAGACUGUUUGUAUUUUACCAAUUAUUAGCCAAAUUACAUAGUUCUGGAAAGUUGCUAGAGCAUUAUCAGAAAAUAAUUAAGAAUUUAUGGACUUUACUUUAUAUGUAUAUAAUAUAUAUAUAAAUAUUAUAUUAUAUAGUAAUAUAUAUAGUAUAUAUAUAAUCAUCUGAAUGACAUUUGCUAAUCAGAACACUCACACUGCACUGCCUCCGGGGAACACUUUUCAAUUUGAGAACCACUCACUUAAAUUACCCGCUAGUAACACUUGAUAUUCCUGUCAUUCAAUAUACCUAGUGAAUUCCUCUGAUUUCUGAUCAUAUCAUAUAGUUGCUGCAGUGCAGCAGUGAGAUAAUAGAUUUUUUCUCAUAUGAUAUCAGUCAAAAUUAUUACAGGGUUUGAUUCAGUAGCCCAUUCUCCUGGAUUUUAUUGCACUUUCCUUGCCAACUCUGUCAGCUUCCCGAUAUCCUUCAGAUAAAGCGGAUUAGUUCGCAGGUUGGCUGUCACAAGAGGAAAUGCUUCAGUCAGGCUUGAGCACUGUCAGAGAAAUAUUCAUUACACACCCAUAUCAGGAACACCACACCCAAGCCGACAUGAAAACAGAGCUAGGAUGUUAUCUGCCUUUUGCGGCAGCUUACCGCCAUCAAACUAUAGGACGUACUGUAUUGUUAAACAGGCUUCACCUGUUUUAUAGGAUCACAUGACCUGUCUCAUUAUUUUGACGUUAUAGUUUCAUAUGUACUGUAUAACCACUUACAGCCAGAGAAUGCACUGCUCUGUCAAUACUCUGCAGUGCCACACGCUGACUAACAAGCAUAUGAUUCUAAUUUUACAGCCCAGCUACUUAACAAAUUAAAAAAUGCACACAGGCAAGUGGAGUUUCAAAGCGGGAAAUUAUAUUCAUGUAGUACACGCUUUUUUUUUAGGUUUUUAGAGCAAGUGUGUUUCUUUUCUUAAUAAAAUUCUAGCGGAAAACAUUUCAUUUAGCCUGCUGUGAUGGCUGCAGAGUAUCGUAGCACUGCUAAGGAAGAGAGAAGGUCUCACGCACACACACUUGGCUGAGUACGCACUGUUGUUCCUGCAGAGUGUGUGGAGGCGGGUUGGUGGGUGUUUUCUACGCUCUGAACUCCAUCCACAUCCAAAACCGUAGGAGAAAAAAGUCCUGAAAAAAAAAGCCCUAGAUACAAAUACUGUGUGACCUCAUCGCUACCUGCUGCCAAAUACUGAGACAGAGCUUCAGCCAAGAGACUGUGCUCACAUACACACAGACACACACAGACACACACAUGCACGCUGUUCCAGGUCAGUGUGUCAGGCUCUUAGUAGUAAAAGACAAGUCAGAGGUUCAGAGACAAUUAAAACAACAACGUGAAAGUUUAUUGAUGCCCGGAGGAUAACUUCCCUUUUUGAUUUCCUGCCUUAUCUCUGAGGUCAAAGGUCGAUGUCAGAUACAGAAUAAUGACAGGCAGUUAACCUGCUCACUCACCAACCAGCCCUAAAACCCCUCACUUGGAUUCCAACAGUCUUCAUCAUACAGCAAGAAGUUAUUUCCCCCUGGCUGUGAUCAGAUGAAUGAUUUUCACAUUCAGAUGAUUUAUGUGUUUGCAGACUGCUUUGGGGCCCUGCAGCAAGAAAAGAGACAGCAUUGUAACUGUAGAUUGGGAAAGAACUGAGGGAAACCAACAAUGUGUUCACUGUGCUUUCUGUGGCACUCAAGCCCAUUCAUUCCUACUGAAGAUAUAGAUCUUUGAAAAUACUCCACAAAUACAUAGUUCCAUUUAUAUAGUUGCAGCUUUAAGUCAUUUAAAGUGAUUAGUGAUUAUUAUUAUUAUCCAUUAUUGUGUCUGCUAUUUUCUCCAUUAAUGGUUACACCUCUAAUAUGCUAAAAAAUCUGUAAUUUUCUGGAAAAAUAAACGCCAAUUAUGUUUUCCGCACUAAAAUAAACUCCUGAAACAGCUGGGCACUGUGGUUUUUAGUAAACAUUACUCAAACAGGAGUAAAUGGUGCAUUUGUUAGUGAUGCCUUCGGUCACAGAUUAAUACACAUUUGUGGAUAUUGUUCCUCCAUAUGUAUGUAAUGUACACUACCGCUCAAAAGUGUCAUGUUUUCCAUGAAAACAAACUGUUUAAUUCAUGAAAUGAGUUACAAAAUGAAUCGAUAAUAGUAAAGACAUUGACAGGGGUAGAAAUAAUGAUUUUUACUUGAAAUAAUAAUUUUGUUCUUCAAACUUUGCUUUCAUCAAAGACUCCAUUUGCAGCAAUUACAGCCUUGUAGACCUUUGGCAUUCUAGCUGUCAAUUUGUUAAGGAAAUCUGGAGAAAAUCUCAUCUCAUGCUUCCUGAAGCACCUCCCAUAAGUUGGAUUGGCUUGAUGGGCACUUCUUACAGACCAUACGGUCAAGCUGCUCCCACAACAGCUCAAUAGGGUUGAGAUCUGGUGACUGCGCUGGCCACUCCAUUACAGACAGAAUACCAGCUGACUGCUUCUUCCCUAAAUAGUUCUUGCAUAGUUUGGAGCUGUGUGGGUCAUCGUUCUGUUGUAGGAGGAAAUUAGCUCUAAUUAAGAGCAGUUCAGAGGAAAUGGCAUGGCAUUGCAAAAUAGAGUGAUAGCCUUCCUUAUUUAAGAUCCACAAAUGCUGAUGCUCUAGAUACUCAACUAGCCUAAGGAAGGCUCAUUUCAUUGCUUCUCAAAUCAGCAAAACAGUUUUCCGCUGUGCUAACAUAAUUGCACAGGUGUUUUCUAAGGAUCAAUUAGCCUUUCAACACAAUAAAUGUGGGCCCCUGUACACGUACAUAGAUAUUUCAUUAAAAAAAUCUGCCGUUUCAAGCUUUAAUAGUCAUUAACCACAUUAACAAUGUCUAGACUGUGUGAUCAAUUUAAUGUUGUUUUAAUUUUAAUAAAAUUUUGCUUUCAUUCAAAAAUAAGGACAUUUCUAAGUGACCCCAAACUUUUGAGCGGUAGUGUAUGUGUGACAAAGAAAUACUACUACUUUGGCGUGGAGUGGAGCUAAACCCUAACCUCUAUGGGUGCCACCAUUGUUGUUCAACGAACACAUCUUCUUCUGCGUCACCAACCCCUGUAUUUGCCAGUAAUUCCUCAAAGGACGCUGACUGGCCCAGUACCACUGUCCUAGCCACAAACACAUAGAUUGAAGCCUAGGCAAGAAAGCUUUUACACUUAAUUCUGAGGUAGAAAUAUCUGUACUAAAGUUCAUGAUAAUGGUGGACCAACAGAUCUCCAUCCAUAGAGCCAUGCCGCUAGCACGGUCGAAAACAGACUUGCCUUGUUAUUUCACUAGCAAUGUCUUGUUUGUUUGUUUUGUUCUUUUCCCUCUAAAAAUGUAUCACACCAUUAUAUAUGGUUAUGUUGUGACAUAAAACAGCAUUUACUGUGAUAGGAUUUCAGUUGCCUUCCCCUAAUGCCCACAUUCACCCACUGAACAGUGUGGCUCACUGAUUGAAAUAAUUGAUUUAAUAGUUUUUGGACAACUGUGGAGCUCUAUGGCACAGAGGAAUAUAUUAAGCACAUGCUUGCUGGAUCAAUUCACUGGUGGUUUUGCUCUUGUCAUUUUUUAUUUAUUUAUUUUUUUCAAUUUGGAAAAAUACUGAAAAUAGUCAGCCUUACACUUGAGUGUCUUAAUUCAGAGACAGAGAGGACAUAUUUGAAAAGAAUAUGGAAUGACGGGCCCUGGAUCAUUUGCAUCGUACAUCUAUAAGACAGCUGAGACACCAGGUCACUCCCUCUCUUCCCUUGUUUUGGUUUUCAUCCACUUUAUCUGUUUCUCUCCCUUUCCAACAGCCAAAUGGUUGUUCAUUUUGGCGAUGGAUGGUCCUUUUUUCCCCCAUGUUCACAGCUAGUUUGGCAGGCAACCAGCCAUACACUCGAGGUUUCUGUUGCAUGCUGACACUCGUACUGUAUUUCUGGAGAGCUACUGAUAGUAGCCUGUACUGUAUAUCUGUCACUGUAACUGAUGGGGGAGGAAAGUCUUUUUUCCCUCCUGCUUACAGAAUGAUACAUAUUGUACGAAACAGCCUGCCUUCAGAAGAUUAAUCUUAAUGUCUCUUUUAUUUGGCGUUUCCUGCUGCCGCUUAAUUAGCCCCUCUGCUGAGGUCUCAUUUGUUUGCCUGGGAGGCUCCUGUAUGUUAGAAUGAAGAGACUUAUUGGUGUAGAUGCGUAAACCUCCGCUUACUGUACAGAAAAUACACAGCUCUCGCCUGGCGCCCUCCCAACAAGAGUCAGAAGGUGCUAGAUAGUCGGCCGUUCAGUAUCAUGGAUGGGAUGGAUGGAUAAAGAGGCACAAAUGAACCAUAAAGAUACACAAAACUACCACUAAAACUAUAAAGAGACACAGAAGGACUACAGAGAGACACAAAAGGACUACAGAGAGACAAAAGUGAGUGAGUGUGUAAACCUUUGUGUAUCUGCCUGUCCUUUUCACUGUUAAAGUGGUGCCGACAAUGUUAAGAGUGCUUGAGGCUUAGUCACACAGAGAGAGUAUUCAAAUAAAAAGGUGGAGUGUGUUAAAAAUGUUCCUUAAGUGGAGGACAGACCUCAACUCUCAGGUUUGCUUCAGUCGUUACCAUUUACAGUGCAGCGGAGCCUCCAACUGUGUGUGUGUGUGUGUGUGUCUUAUGAAUCUAUCUUGUGUUUUCUAUAUGAGAAAGAGAGUCACACUCUGAGAUGUAGGUGUAUGUGACGGAGACCCAACCCAAGAGCAGCUUGCACAGAUGGAGGAAGAUUAACAGGCAAUGUGUGUGUAUGUGUCGGUACAUUGUGUGAAUUCAAAUGUGGGUUGCCGACAAUAGAUUUUCCACCCAGUAGCUGCUUUGCAUUCUGAACAAGUACUUUAGCUUUUGUCAUUGCAGAAUGAACCCUAUGCUUUUGUUGAUUUGUUGAAGAGCUUUGAUCGACCCGAGCUUGAAAAAAUCAACCACAGAAGCAGUUUUGGGCCUGACCCGAAUCCAAACUUCUGCUUAAAUUUGUUAAUUACAGAUUAAAGUACAUUGUGCAUGUAAGAUGCAAAAUGAUUAUCAAAACUAAUCAAUAACAAAUCCACCUAUUAAUAGUAUAGUUGCAUGCAUUAUUAAUAAAAUUUAUAUUUUUAGCCCUGAGCCCGACCCGAGCCCGACCUACAGCGGCAGUUUUGGGUCCGAACAGAGAAGCAAAGCUCUACUUUGUAGGACUGUACCGAAUAGUUGAUUUAGAUUUUAUUAGAAAAAAAUAUACAUAUAUUUUCUUUAUUAAAUUAUAUAAUCCUUGAACAAUGCAUAUUUAUUUUGGUGAAGUGAAACUCUUUUCACCUUGAUUAUUUUUCAUCUUACCAAUCUUUACAUUUUUGUAUUGUGAUUUAAGUGUCUCUAUAUAUAUAUAUACUGUCUGUCUCUAUAUAUAUAUAUAUCUUUACGUUCCUAGUUCUAAAUCAACAUUCAAAUGUUGCGCAGGUCGAAGCUAACUAUAAAAUCGCAGCGAGCAGGGUAGGUCUCGCCCAGCUCCUCUGCUCUCUGGCUCCUUCCUGCUGGGUUGCGCGGAGCUUUUUUUUUUUUUGAGCUUUACAACAAAACCGCUGUGAAACAAUCAGAAAACACAGUUGUAUUUCUCUGAUUCACUGCUCUUUCCCUCUCUAGCCCCCACCGUGCUCUCUUGCAGUGACAACACGUCAUAGAACACAUCUUACACCAGUUUGCAGUGUAUGUAAUUGCAACCACUUAGGAGUAUUUUCAUGAUUGAGACAGUACAUUGCCACAUCUAAUGCACUGUAAUUACUGAAGAAAAAGCACCUUUAUGAUAGUGGUGUCAUUUUGGAAGUGUCCAACCAAAUUACAAAGGUUAAGAACAAAGCCCAGCCCCCUCAUGAGUCAGAAUAUGAGACAGAAGACUGUUUAACUCUCUGCUUCCCUCCCAUCCAAUGUCUUUGCUUGGGGGACUGGGGAUUGUGUCGCCUUGUAUUUGACCUUAUUUUUCUAUGAACAUAUACUAAAUGUUAUUGUUACUACAGAGCUAUGAACAAGAAGCAAUAUCUGUGUAUUUACUGGGGAAUGAUGAGAAUCCCAGCAUGCACUGGGUCCAAGCUCAUCACAAGACAAUCACAUAAAUAGAAAAUUGCACAUAUACAUUCACAUAUAAGGGUAAUGCAGAGUUUUAAUCACCUGGGUCCUUAUUUAUAAGACUAUAAAACUUAUUCAGAUAACAAUAGUAAUAAUAAUGCUACUGUGGUCAUAUUCUAACCUGUCUUUGUGUU